rnacentral:rRNA from 1 species
UACGUAGGGUGCAAGCGUUGUCCGGAAUUACUGGGCGUAAAGAGCUCGUAGGCGGUUUGUCGCGUCGUUCGUGAAAUCCUGCAGCUUAACUGCAGGCGUGCGGGCGAUACGGGCAGACUUGAGUACUACAGGGGAGACUGGAAUUCCUGGUGUAGCGGUGAAAUGCGCAGAUAUCAGGAGGAACACCGGUGGCGAAGGCGGGUCUCUGGGUAGUAACUGACGCUGAGGAGCGAAAGCGUGGGUAGCAAACAGG